AUGUGCUGCGGCGCCGAGGUGGCGGACCCUGGAGAGCACCGGCGGCGGCUGGCCGCCGGCGACGACGACGGGGGAGACGGACGGGAGGAGCAUGCACCGUCCUCGCCGCCGCCCAACACGACGAUGUGGCGGCGCAGGCAGGCGCAGGAGAUGUCGGCCAUGGUGUCGGCGCUAGCUCAGGUCGUCGCCGGCGGCGUGGGCGAGGGUGGCAUGGCGUCUUCGACCAAGAGACCCGCCGAGCACGAGGCCUUCGCGGAGGAGGCGUGGUGGUCGACGUCGUACGGAGGCGGAGACGGAGACGGCGGAGCGCCGUCGGCGGCCUCUCCCUUCCUUGCCGAUUACACGGCGGCGCCCGCGGCAUCCUACUCGCCGCACGGUGCGGCAGCCGGCGACGAGGAGCUUCCUUCGCCGUCCUCCGCCGAGUCCGGCGGCUCCGGGGGCGCGCCGAGGAAGCGGUACAGGGGCGUGCGGCAGCGGCCGUGGGGGAAGUGGGCGGCGGAGAUUCGUGACCCGCACAAGGCGGCGCGUGUGUGGCUCGGGACCUUCGACGACGCCGAGGCCGCCGCGCGUGCCUACGACGCCGCCGCCCUCGGAUUCCGCGGCAGCCGCGCCAAGCUCAACUUCCCCGAGUCGGCCACCAUCCCGCCGCAGCAGCAGCCUCCUCCUGCGCCGGCAUUAGCGAUGCCACCGCCGCAGCGGCCCGAGGCGCUGCUGGAGUCGCAGGCUCUGUUGGGAGGGCAGGCCUAUUCCCACUACGCCAGGUUCCUGCUGCCGAGCACCGGCGGCUCGACGUCGGGGGCGCCGAGAACGCCGGCGCCUCCUCUGAUUUACAGCUUCGGAGCCGGAGCGAGCUACCCCUUGCAGCCGGAGAGCAGAGGUGAGGGUGCCGGUACAGAACGCCCGGGCCCGGGGGUGACCUCAGCAGCGGCGUGGGCAGCCUACAGCCACGAGCAGCCUCAGCGGCGGGAUGACCCGUCGGUGUGA
rnacentral:rRNA from 1 species